CCCUUAGAUGUCCGGGGCUGCACGCGCGCUACACUGAAUGAAUCAGCGUGCUAGAAAACCUUGUUUGACAUGGCUAGGUAACCCAUUGAAAAUCAUUCGUGAUUGGGAUCGGGACUUGCAAAUGUGUCCCUUGAACGAGGAAUUCCCAGUAAGUGCGGGUCAUCAGCUCGCGUUGAUUACGUCCCUGCCCUUUGUACACACCGCCCGUCGCUGCCCGGAACUGAGCCGUUUCGAGAAGACUGAGGAGUGCUGACUUGAGGCCUUCACGGGCUUCUAGUCGGUGAAAAUCAAUUUAAUCGCAGCGGCUUGAACCGGGCAAAAGUCGUAACA
rnacentral:rRNA from 1 species